CCAGGACUGCCCAAGAGGACAAUGGAGUCUGGAGCUCGCCCAGUUGGUAGCAGCUGUAGCAGCCCUGCAGCACUCUCAAGGGAAUACAAACUAGUGAUGCUGGGUGCCGGUGGAGUUGGGAAGAGUGCCAUGACAAUGCAGUUCAUCAGCCACCGAUUCCCAGAAGAUCAUGACCCCACCAUUGGGUCUGACAUGAGCCUGACCCUGAAGUAUGAGUCAGCUGAUUUGAACUUCCACAAAAAGAAGCAGAAAAACAAGUAGAGCCAGCCUGCUGAACUCUAGAGCCAGUCUUCCCCGUGAAGCUCUCCAUUUAUUUCCUUAUCCUCGAAGCUCACUAUAGAGAAAUGUCUCCUGUGUCUUUGUAAUCUUUGACUGUCAUGUGUUGGUAGAAUGCCAGCGGAGCAAAUCAGUCUCCCCCCACACCCCUC
rnacentral:lncRNA from 1 species